rnacentral:rRNA from 1 species
CCUACGGGUGGCUGCAGUGGGGAAUAUUGGACAAUGGGCGAAAGCCUGAUCCAGCCAUGCCGCGUGUGUGAAGAAGGCCUUCGGGUUGUAAAGCACUUUCAGUGGGGAAGAAAGCCUUGGGGCUAAUACCCUCGAGGAAGGACAUCACCCACAGAAGAAGCACCGGCUAACUCCGUGCCAGCAGCCGCGGUAAUACGGAGGGUGCGAGCGUUAAUCGGAAUUACUGGGCGUAAAGCGCGCGUAGGCGGUCUGAUAAGCCGGUUGUGAAAGCCCCGGGCUCAACCUGGGAACCGGCAUCCGGAACUGUCAGGCUAGAGUGCAGGAGAGGAAGGUAGAAAUCCCGGUGUAGCCGUGAAAUGCGUAGAGAUCGGGAGGAAUACCAGUGGCGAAGGCGGCCUUCUGGACUGACACUGACGCUGAGGUGCGAAAGCGUGGGUAGCCAACAGGAUUAGAUACCCCAGUAGUC